CCUACGGGGUGCUGCAGUGGGGAAUAUUGGACAAUGGGCGAAAGCCUGAUCCAGCCAUGCCGCGUGUGUGAAGAAGGCCUUCGGGUUGUAAAGCACUUUCAGUGGGGAAGAAAGCCUUGGGGCUAAUACCCUCGAGGAAGGACAUCACCCACAGAAGAAGCACCGGCUAACUCCGUGCCAGCAGCCGCGGUAAUACGGAGGGUGCGAGCGUUAAUCGGAAUUACUGGGCGUAAAGCGCGCGUAGGCGGUCUGAUAAGCCGGUUGUGAAAGCCCCGGGCUCAACCUGGGAACGGCAUCCGGAGCUGUCAGGCUAGAGUGCAGGAGAGGAAGGUAGAAUUCCCGGUGUAGCGGUGAAAUGCGUAGAGAUCGGGAGGAAUACCAGUGGCGAAGGCGGCCUUCUGGACUGACACUGACGCUGAGGUGCGAAAGCGUGGGUAGCAAACAGGAUUAGAUACCCGUGUAGUC
rnacentral:rRNA from 1 species